rnacentral:rRNA from 1 species
GGUAACGCCUGCCCAGUGAAACUUCAACGGCCGCGGUAUCCUAACCGUGCAAAGGUAGCGUAAUCACUUGUCCUCUAAAUAAGGACUAGUAUGAACGGCUAAAUGAGGGUUAACCUGUCUCCUCUAACUAAUCAGUGAAACUGAUCUACCAGUACAAAAGCUGGUAUAUACCCACAAGACGAGAAGACCCUGUGGAGCUUCAAAUCAAAAAUCAACACAAGCCAACCAAACUAUGUCCAUUGAUUUUACCAUUUUCAGUUGGGGCGACUUCGGAACAAAAAACAACUUCCGAACAUAAGACCUGUUCUCACCUAGACCAACAAGUCCAAGCAAAAAUUGACCCAGUCACACUGACCAACGAACCAAGUUACCCCAGGGAUAACAGCGCAAUCUUCUUCAAGAGUCCAUAUCGACAAGAAGGUUUACGACCUCGAUGUUGGAUCAGGACACCCAAUUGGUGCAGCCGCUAUUAAAGGUUCGUUUGUUCAACGAUU